GGAUUCGGGAGAGACUGGGCGGACAGACGCGCAGCGCCGAAGGGGAAGCGAAGAACUCUCAGGCAAAAGGACCGGA
rnacentral:ncRNA from 1 species